GACGAACGCUGGCGGCGUGCUUAACACAUGCAAGUCGAACGGAAAGGCCCUGCUUUUGUGGGGUGCUCGAUUGGCGAACGGGUGAGUAACACGUGAGUAACCUGCCCUUGACUUUGGGAUAACUUCAGGAAACUGGGGCUAAUACCGGAUAGGAGCUCCUGCUGCAUGGUGGGGGUUGGAAAGUUUCGGCGGUGGGGGAUGGACUCGCGGCUUAUCAGCUUGUUGGUGGGGUAGUGGCUUACCAAGGCUUUGACGGGUAGCCGGCCUGAGAGGGUGACCGGCCACAUUGGGACUGAGAUACGGCCCAGAAUCCUACGGGAGGCAGCAGUGGGGAAUAUUGCACAAUGGGCGGAAGCCUGAUGCAGCAACGCCGCGUGCGGGAUGACGGCCUUCGGGUUGUAAACCGCUUUCGCAUGUGACGAAGCGUGAGUGACGGUAAUGGGUAAAGAAGCACCGGCUAACUACGUG
rnacentral:rRNA from 1 species